ACGCUCGUGGCUCAAGUGGAGAGAGCGCCUGCCUACGAAGCAGGAGGUUGCAGGUUCGAGUCCUGCCGAGCGUG
rnacentral:tRNA from 2 species